GCUCUGUGUAGAUGUCUUUGUGGUGUCAC
rnacentral:piRNA from 1 species